rnacentral:rRNA from 1 species
UAUACAUGCAGUCGAGCGAGCUGAAUUCAAAGAUCCCUUCGGGGUGAUUUGUUGGACGCUAGCGGCGGAUGGGUGAGUAACACGUGGGCAAUCUGCCCUAAAGACUGGGAUACCACUUGGAAACAGGUGCUAAUACCGGAUAACAACAUGAAUCGCAUGAUUCAAGUUUGAAAGGCGGCGCAAGCUGUCACUUUAGGAUGAGCCCGCGGCGCAUUAGCUAGUUGGUGGGGUAAAGGCCUACCAAGGCAAUGAUGCGUAGCCGAGUUGAGAGACUGAUCGGCCACAUUGGGACUGAGACACGGCCCAAACUCC